UUAAAAUCGGAUACAGAUUUCUUAAAAUAGUGAAUAAUAUUUAUCUACAUAACAUAUAUAAAUGAAAUAGUAUAGAAUGAAGUGAAAUAGUAUGGAAGGAAACGUAGUGACUAGUGACGAUUAUGACUUCGGCAAGGUCGACGAUGACGAAAGGCUCAUGCCGUGGUUGUGGUAACGAUGUGGUAGUGGCUGAGGUGAUGGUGGCCGUUGCGAUGGUGGUGAUGGUAAUGACGGUAACUGCAUGGUGGUGGUGGUGACUGGUGAUCAUGGCGUUGUGGUGGAGCUGACCGCAUGAUGCUGGUGGUGAUGGCGCGUUGGUGAUGAUGGUGAUGUUGCGGUAAUGGUGGUGAUGGUCCAGUGGUGGUGAUGACGGUGGUUAAAUGGUGGUA
rnacentral:lncRNA from 1 species